AUGUAUGCGUGAGCCGAAUAUGACGUCACUGGCGAACCUAUCAUAUAGUCGACACACAUAUAUUGUUAUAUACCCCCGCCUCCCCUCCCACAGGAAACUUUUCACGAAUUCCUGAAAGGAAUACGUAUAURCAUUCUAAAAGUCUGUCUGUCUGUCCCACGAGGACAUAGUUAAGGAAUUCGUAUGGAAAUGCUUUUAAAGCAUUCUCAACUGGUUUUUUAUAUAAAUAAAU